GACGAACGCUGGCGGCGUGCCUAAUACAUGCAAGUAGAACGCAGUUGCGAACGGGUGAGUAACGCGUAGGUAACCUGCCUUAACGCGGGGGAUAACUAUUGGAAACAAUAGGUAAUACCUCAUACUGUGGGAUUGACCUGCGUUGUAUUCGCUAGUUGGUGAGGUAAAGGCUGACCAAGGCGACGAUCCAUAGCCGACCUGAGAGGGUGAUCGGCCACACGUGGACCGAGACAAGGCCCAGACUCCUACGGGAGGCAGCAGUAGGGAAUCUUCGGCAAUGGACGGAAGUCUGACCGAGCAACGCCGCGUGAGUGAAGAAGGUUUUCGGAUCGUAAAGCUCUGUUGUUAGAGGAGCGGUAACUAACCAGAAAGGGACGGCUAACUACGUGCCAGCAGCCGCGGUAAGAC
rnacentral:rRNA from 1 species